AUAUAGACUUCUCCUGAAGUUUAUAUUAAACAUUUAUGGCCAUUAGAUGGGUAUGCGUCCUAUUAGUUAGUUGGUAAGGUAACGGCUUACCAAGGCAGCGAUAGGUACGGGGUCCUGAGGAGGGAGACUCCCCACACUGGUACUGAGACACGGACCAGACUCCGUACGGGAGGCAGCAGUGAGGAAUAUUGGACAAUGGGCGAGAGCCUGAUCCACGCCAUGCCGCGUGCAGGAAGACUCGCCCUAGUGGGUUAGUAAACUGUCUUUACAGAGGAAGAACCCACCCCACGUGUGGGGGUUUGACGGUACUCUGCGAAUAAGGAUCGGCUAACUCCGUG
rnacentral:rRNA from 1 species